UCCUCCGUGGCGCAAUUGGCUAGCGCGUCUGACUGUUAUUAUCAGGAAUCACGAAUCAGGAAUUAACUGAAUCAGGAAUUACCUGAAAUAGCCCAUCAGGAGGUUGACAGUUCAAGCCUGUCCGGGGGAG